rnacentral:rRNA from 1 species
UAAGUUGACCGCCUGGGGAGUACGGCCGCAAGGUUAAAACUCAAAUGAAUUGACGGGGGCCCGCACAAGCGGUGGAGCAUGUGGUUUAAUUCGAAGCAACGCGAAGAACCUUACCAGGUCUUGACAUCCUCGGAACUUGGCAGAGAUGCCUUGGUGCCUUCGGGAGCCGAGUGACAGGUGCUGCAUGGCCGUCGUCAGCUCGUGUCGUGAGAUGUUGGGUUAAGUCCCGUAACGAGCGCAACCCUUGUCCUUAGUUGCCAGCACGUCAUGGUGGGAACUCUAGGGAGACUGCCGGUGACAAACCGGAGGAAGGUGGGGACGACGUCAGGUCAUCAUGGCCCUUACGACCUGGGCUACACACGUGCUACAAUGGCUGGUACAGAGGGUUGCGAAGUCGCGAGGCGAAGCUAAUCCCUUAAAGCCAGUCGUAGUCCGGAUCGGAGUCUGCAACUCGACUCCGUGAAGUCGGAAUCGCUAGUAAUCGCGGAUCAGAAUGCCGCGGUGAAUACGUUCCCGGGCCUUGUACACACCGCCCGUCACACCAUGGGAGUGGAUUGCACCAGAAGUGGCUAGUCUAACUACG